rnacentral:misc_RNA from 1 species
GGAAGUAAAAGCCGUAACAAGGUCUCCGUUGGUGAACCAGCGGAGGGAUCAUUACCGAGUUUACAACUCCCAAACCCCUGUGAACAUACCAUUUGUUGCCUCGGCGGUGCCUGCUUCGGCAGCCCGCCAGAGGACCCAAACCCUUGAUUUUAUACAGUAUCUUCUGAGUAAAUGAUUAAAUAAAUCAAAACUUUCAACAACGGAUCUCUUGGUUCUG